CAUUCUAUCACUCUACUCCGGAAUUCAACCUCUCACAUCUUAAUGACAAACUAGCAUAGUAACCCGCGCGUGCGAUGCGACAGAUAGAUAAUUGGAAAAAAAAUAAAAAAAUAUCGACAAAAAAAAAAACGACGAUAGAAGAAGCGCUGAUGAGAGGUGAGAUUCAUCCAGCCGAUGAAUAAAAGUAAUAGCCGAAGGAAGAGGAAUAGGAAGGACUUUGAGUUGGUUUGAGGUGGAUCCCACACUCAACCAUGAAGAAAAAGUUGUCAUAUGACAACUUUAGAAGAAAUAAUAUAUAGAUAUAGAUGUUACUCCAAAUUAUCUCGUCAUAAUAUAUAACUAGCUAUUUAGGCAUACAUUAUUCAUCCUCACU
rnacentral:lncRNA from 1 species